GUGAAAUGCAAAUGAGUUUUUUGAGUUUUUGUUGACACCUCUAACUGCAGGAUGGAAGCGGCACAAAUUGUUCUGAUCAGGGAGCAAUAACAUGCAACGAUCCCCAGGGCUCCCAGGCAGGCGGAGGGGGCACCCAGUCUCAGCAGCCCGCGAUCUGCUUGGCCCCUGCGAGCUGCAUGCCUCACAUUUCCCCAGCUCCAGCCUCCUUUCAAAGGCCCUUUAUUAAACCACCAACUAUUUGCUGUCGAGACAUUUAGGAUGAAAUCAUUGUGUUAAACAAAUAAACGCAGCUUCGUCCAGA
ensembl:lncRNA LINC02230 long intergenic non-protein coding RNA 2230